AACGAACGCUGGCGGCAGGCCUAACACAUGCAAGUCGAGCGCACCUUCGGGUGAGCGGCGGACGGGUUAGUAACGCGUGGGAACCUACCUAGUACUAAGGAAUAGCCUUUGGAAACGAAGAGUAAUACCUUAUACGCCCUUCGGGGGAAAGAUUUAUCGGUAUUAGAUGGGCCCGCGUUUGAUUAGAUAGUUGGUGGGGUAACGGCCUACCAAGUCUACGAUCAAUAGCUGGUUUGAGAGGAUGAUCAGCAACACUGGGACUGAGACACGGCCCAGACUCCUACGGGAGGCAGCAGUGGGGAAUCUUGGACAAUGGGCGCAAGCCUGAUCCAGCCAUGCCGCGUGAGCGAAGAAGGCCUUAGGGUCGUAAAACUCUUUCAACUGUGAAGAUAAUGACGGUAGCAGUAGAAGAACCCG
rnacentral:rRNA from 1 species